rnacentral:lncRNA from 1 species
AAAAAAAUAAUUAAUACUGCCACCAUACUUUUUCUAGUACAAAAGCAAAGCAAAAAGGCAGACUUUAUCUUAUCAAUAUGAGAAUUCCUUGAAAUGGGUACCCCAUAACUUUCUUUAAGCCUUGAUUUAUCAUUGAUUGCUUGAAUAAUUAAGAUAUGGCCAAAUUGAAAAAAAAUAGCUUAAGUUUUGAUUUAGAAGACAAGUCGAUAGUAUUGUGAUAUGAUCGUUAAAUUAUUCAAAAUAGUCCUUAUCAAGUUCGAAGAGAUACAUUUUUAUAAAAGAAAUCAAUCGUGGAAGACUAGUAUCGACUUCAUAUUCAUAAAUUUUCAUUUUGUCUUUUGGCUACUAAUUUGGGAUGAAUUAUUAUUAAAUGGUCUCAACUCUUGAAUGUCAUUUUUUUAGAAACUUCUAACAUGAGAAAAAUGACAAAAAAUAGGUGUUUGUACUUAAUAGUGUUUUAUUAAUUACUUAAAUAUAUAAUCAUGUCAUUCUUUUAUUUUCAAUUAUAGUUUAGAAAAAAUAUAUGAUAAUAAUAAGACUGAAGAUUAAUUCCU